AGAAAUGUUAGGGAGUAAAGUGGGUCCAUGUAGUGUAUGUGGGAGGAGGGUAAUGGCAAAUGCGGUGUUGUGUACGAGAUGUGAGAAAUGGAUUCAUGGUAGAUGUAUGAAAAUGAAGGUGACCCCAAGACUGGCAAGUGAAUUUGUUUGUGGAAGAUGUGAGAAAGGAGUUGGAGAGCUGGUGGAACCAGUGGAAAUGGUGAACGGGUUUUGUUAUUUGGGAGAAAGGGUGGAUGGAAGUGGU